GUGGCGCACGGGUGAGUACACGUGAGUGACAUACCCCGCAGUGGGGGAUAGCCCGCCGAAAGGCGGAUUAAUACCCCAUGGUAUCGCAAGAUUAAAGGUGGCUUCGGCUGCCGCUGCGGGAUUGGCUCGCGUCCUAUCAGUUAGUUGGUGAGGUAACGGCUCACCAAGGCGACGACGGGUAGCUGGUCUGAGAGGAUGAUCAGUCACACUGGAACUGAGACACGGUCCAGACACCUACGGGUGGCAGCAGUCGAGAAUAAUUCACAAUGGACGAAAGUCUGAUGGUGCAACGCCGCGUGGAGGAUGACGGUCUUCGGAUUGUAAACUCCUGUCAUCGGGGAGUAAGACCUGGCUGUGAAUAGCAGACAGGGUUGAUAGUACCCGAAGAGGAAGGGACGGCUAACUUCGUGCCAGCAGCCGCGGUAAUACGAAGGUCCCGAGCGUUGUUCGGAAUCGCUGGGCGUAAAGGGAGCGUAGGCGGCAGGGUAAGUCAGAUGUGAAAUCCCGGGGCUCAACCCCGGAACGGCAUCCGAUACUGCCCUGCUUGAGUAAUGGAGGGGUAGCUGGAAUUCUCGGUGUAGCAGUGAAAUGCGUGGAUAUCGAGAGGAACACUCGUGGCGAAAGCGAGCUACUGGACAUUGACUGACGCUGAGGCUCGAAGGCCAGGGUAGCGAAAGGGAUUAGAUACCCCUGUAGUCCUGGCAGUAAACGGUGUGCGCUUGGUGUGAGGGGUUUCGACCCCCCUUGUGCCGGAGCUAACGCGUUAAGCGCACCGCCUGGGAAGUACGGUCGCAAGACUAAAACUCAAAGAAAUUGACGGGGACCCGCACAAGCGGUGGAGUAUGUGGCUUAAUUCGAUGCAACGCGAAGAACCUUACCUGGGCUUGACAUGCAUUGCUAAUCCGCUGAAAGGCGGUGAGUCUUCGGACACCUUGCACAGGUGCUGCAUGGCCGUCGUCAGCUCGUGUCGUGAGAUGUUGGGUUAAGUCCCGCAACGAGCGCAACCCUCGUGAUUAGUUGUCACCACGUGAAGGUGGGGACUGUAAUCAGACGGCCCAGAUCAACUGGGAGGAAGGUGGGGAAGAUGUCAGGUCAGUA
rnacentral:rRNA from 1 species